UACGUAGGGUGCAAGCGUUGUCCGGAAUUAUUGGGCGUAAAGGGCUCGUAGGCGGUCCAUCGCGUCGGGAGUGAAAAGCUGGGGCUCAACCCCAGUCCUGCUUUCGAUACGGGUGGACUAGAGGUAUGCAGGGGAGAACGGAAUUCCUGGUGUAGCGGUGAAAUGCGCAGAUAUCAGGAGGAACACCGGUGGCGAAGGCGGUUCUCUGGGCAUUACCUGACGCUGAGGAGCGAAAGCGUGGGGAGCGAACAGG
rnacentral:rRNA from 1 species